ensembl:snRNA RNU6-760P RNA, U6 small nuclear 760, pseudogene
GUGCUUGCUUUGGCAUCACCUAUACUAAAAUUGGAACAAUACAGAGAAGAUGAACAUGGCUCCUGCUCAAGGAUUUUUAAAAAUAAUAAAAAUGGGU